GAUGAACGCUAGCGGCAGGCUUAACACAUGCAAGUCGAGGGGCAGCGCGAGGUAGCAAUACCUUGGCGGCGACCGGCGCACGGGUGCGUAACGCGUAUCGAACCUUCCCCUUACUCGGGAAUAGCCCGGUGAAAACCGAAUUAAUGCCCGAUAUGUAUUUGGAUGGCAUCAGAAGAGUAUGAAAGAUUUAUCGGUAAGGGAUGGCGAUGCGUAGGAUUAGGUAGUCGGCGGGGUAACGGCCCACCGAGCCUACGAUCCUUAGGGGUUCUGAGAGGAAGGUCCCCCACAUUGGAACUGAGACACGGUCCAAACUCC
rnacentral:rRNA from 1 species